AUCGUUUAACUAAUUACAAGAUAUCCAAAGACCAAAUCUAAGCUAUUGUCACAAAUAUGCACCAAUAGUAUCUUCUACAUUAGAUCAAGUGUGUUUUUAUCUCACUAGGAACAAUUAGUUUUUAGUUUCGUGAUUGCAUUUAGACCCGUGAUUGAAUUUAAAUUUCAUAGGAAAUACCAUUUUCAUGUAAUGAACUUUAACUCCUCAUUUUUUUCUAGCAUCAACUUUAAAAACCAAGAGCAACGGAGAACUAAAACUUCAAAGCUUUUAGAAUUGUCAAAUUAUGAUUCUCACAUGCAGUGGCGGACCCUGAAAUUUUUUUCAUGGGUGCGGAUUUUUUGUAAGGUUCAUUUGUUUAUUGCUAUACAAUAAUUUUUUCCGGUCCGACUCGGGUCGGGUCGGAGGCAAAAAUUCUUACCUAUAAGUUAAUUUUCUUCAAAAACUCAUAUUUUUAUUUUUAUUUUUGCUUGCUUGAGUAUCAAAAUUCUUAGAUUUCAAAAAAUAUGGUGAAAACUCAACUAAAAUAUGGUGAAAACUCAACUACUGUUUUAUGUUUUGUUUGCCGAAUAUCUUUUUAGAGAAUCAUUUCAAAAAAUCUAUAUACUAUAUAUAAGCAUUUCCCAUGUCUAAAAUAGUAAUUUAACAUCAAUUUUUUAAGAUGGCAGAUUAAAAGUCUCAAACAAAACCCUAUAUUUUUUUUCAUUUUUCCCCAUUCUACCCCUGCUCUCCCUACGUCCCCCGUUAUAUGAAACCCUAAUCAUUGAAAUUGAAUAUUAUCAUUAACACAGUCGUUCCCUUUACCCUCCCCAGAGCAGGCUAUCACCCUUAAACGGCCGGAGAAAUGAAGGGUCCUAUAUUAAACCUGUUUUCCAUUAUAGAUAGAUUUGCGCCUAUAUAUGAGGGGGAGAGAGACGCUCAGAAGCCAGACAAAACACCGGCCGUUGCACGCCUGCACCCAUGUUCCAGUUGUAAAUCGGAACAUAGUGAGUGUAGGGGAGAAUUCCAUCGGUCACCACCGUUGAUUGAAUAUAUCUCGGCUCUUGUUCUACUUUUUCACAUCUUUCGAUUUGUGUUUUUAACCCUAAAGAAUAAAGAAACCAGGGGUCACAUGUAUCAUAUGAGUCAAGAACUGCAAUGGGAGUUACUCUCGAAACAUGGAAGAUGAAUAUUAAAUGUUUAUCCGUCACAUGAACCCGCCACGAGGGCAACGAAUCAUGUAAAAACACUACAAUCAUCUAGGUACACAUACCUUUCAAUUUGACAAUUUCAUCAUGUUUUAGGGCAUAGAAGAGCCUGAUCAAUAGCAUGCCCACAAGGUGUUUGUGUUAUUGCCUGAAAGAAACUGAUUGUUUGAUUUAGUGUUUUAUUGAAACAAGUGGACCGUGCUAACAAGCAUGGCAUUCUUUUGGAAGUUGUGAAAGUGCUCACUGGUCUAAGCUUCAUUGUUAUAAAACGCACAUUAUUGUUAAGGAAUUGUUUUAUUUUGAUGAUUAUGAAUUUAUUUAUAUUUCACCGAAUAGCAGAGAUGUUUUACAACACCGGUCACCAUCACGACUCUUCCUCUUCCAAUUCAUCCUCUCAUAACGUCGACUCUUAGGACACAAUGCAAGCAAUUUAAAAUAAGGGCUGUUAAGGUGAAGGAUGAUUUAGAGAGUGUUGUAUCUGGCAUUAAUGUGCUUGUCAACCCAGAAAAGACUAAAUUAAUUUCAUUGUAACCAAGAAGAGGAUGCUUUGAAGUGCGUGAAGAAGGCGGGAAGAAGUUUGUUAGUCUUCUGGAUAUGAAACGACCAUUUGGACCGAUGAAGGCCUUGUGUAAUUACAAGAAGCGCCAAAAAGGCGAUGAUUCCGAGGCUGUCUCUAGAAAUGGUACCCAAGUUUUAAGAAAGGAUGGGAGAAAUAAAAACAUCCGCGGAAACUAUCCUCUUUGGUUUGGUGAGAAAGGUGGGGGAUAUAAAAGAAUAGUCGUUUCCUGGUCUAAUCAAGUCCAAACCAACUCAAGUGGUGCAAUUCUAAUUUGGAAGUGGUAGUUGAGUUUUUUCUCAAAAAGACCAUUUUGGUUAUGUUGUUAUUAUGGUGAUUGCUAUAGUUUCAGUUUUUUACACUUACUCUAGGAGCUUGCUAAAUCCUUAGGUGUAAACUAAUGUAAUGGUGAUUUUGAAUAAAACUUUGAAGUUUAUAGUAA